AUCAAUUUCGUGUUACUUCUACAAUAUGUACGCUAAAAUUGAAACGUUACUACACAUGACUAUAGCGAUUACCUUUAUAAAAUAUUUCUCAAGUACCACUACAUUGUUAUACCAAUAUCUUUUAUAAAACACUUCCAUUAUCAGAUGAGACAAGGACAGAUUUUUUACAUUAGAUGCUUCAUUGAUAUUUAUUGUCUUAAAAAUUCAAGUCAGCUGUUAUAGAGAACAGAAACAAAUCCGUGAUCAAAUUAUCACCUGAGUUUUGUACUGGAUGCUUCUUGGACAAAAUAGCAAGAGUUUGCAGUUUGUACCAUUUUCAUAUAUUGAUGAAGAUUACAGUUGAUGGAAAUACAAGACUCACAUCUGUUACGAAUGAAGUAUAAAGAGGAAUAUAAAGAAAA
rnacentral:lncRNA from 1 species